UACGUAGGGUGCAAGCGUUGUCCGGAAUCAUUGGGCGUAAAGCGUGCGUAGGUGGCUCGGUAAGUCCGCUCUGAAAGUCACAGGCUCAACCUGUGAAAGCGGGUGGAUACUGCCGGGCUAGAGUCCGGAAGAGGCGAGUGGAAUUCCUGGUGUAGCGGUGGAAUGCGCAGAUAUCAGGAGGAACACCAACGGCGAAGGCAGCUCGCUGGGACGGUACUGACACUGAGGCGCGAAAGCCAGGGGAGCAAACGGG
rnacentral:rRNA from 1 species